AAACGGCGGAAUAGAGCCUGCGCGGCGUACGCACACUGGAGACCCGUCCUAGAGCGACACCACACCAAUAGACCCCCAGAUCGAUCCUACAUGAUUACUAGGCUAAAGGUAUCCGAGUGGGGAAGGACUCACCUGAGAUUCGGCAACGGGAAAUAGUUGUCCACACACCAUGCAAAUCCGCGGCCAAGUCCGGGCAAUGGCGAGGAAUUACGGGCACCCCGAUGGCUCCCGGUCUCCCUAGUUGUCACCACUAUGAGCGCGAUAUCGUGAUGAAGAUCCCGACUCCAAUCUAGGCGCCAAACUACCGCACAAUCCAAGUAUGGCGUGGUGUCCCUCAACUCCGGCGAGAAGUACCCCUUCCCCCCGCUCCGAGCACGCUAACGUAGAAUCUUUGGGAUUAGCGUGAGAUGGAUGAGGAGCACCUGGCGACCGCAUGUAUACUCAUGUCCAAGAUCUGAACCCUAGGACCCAGGACGGAUUCCACAACCAAAUCCCAAGAUCCGCGCGUGCACGAGUUCGUCCAGUUCUGUUGUGAGGUUGAUGAGCUGAUCCGGUGGGACCCACGUGAUAGAGACACAAAGCCUGGCGCGUUGGAUGAUGGUUGAGCUGUGUUCGCAGGGUGAAGGGCUGACGGGCGGGGUCCUGUUGUCAGCGCAUCAGCAGGUGGCGGGCUGCGUGGAGAGAAA
rnacentral:lncRNA from 7 species